CCUCAUCGAUCAGAAGGGAUUCCUUCCGAUCAAUGAGGUGUAAAAACCUCAUCAACCGGAAGGAAUUCCUUUCGGUUGAUGAGUUGUAACAGCCCCCUUGACCGGAAGGGAUUCCUUCCGGUUGAUGGUGUUGUUGUAUCUCAUUGGCCGGAAGGAUAUCCUUCCGAUCGAUGAGG
rnacentral:miRNA from 1 species